ACUCGUCACACUAUCAUUAACUGAAUCCAUAGGUUAAUGAGGCGAACCGGGGGAACUGAAACAUCUAAGUACCCCGAGGAAAAGAAAUCAACCGAGAUUCCCCCAGUAGCGGCGAGCGAACGGGGAGGAGCCCAGAGCCUGAAUCAGCAUGUGUGUUAGUGGAAGCGUCUGGAAAGGCGCGCGAUACAGGGUGACAGCCCCGUACACAAAAGCGCAUGUGCUGUGAGCUCGAUGAGUAGGGCGGGACACGUGGUAUCCUGUCUGAAUAUGGGGGGACCAUCCUCCAAGGCUAAAUACUCCUGACUGACCGAUAGUGAACCAGUACCGUGAGGGAAAGGCGAAAAGAACCCCGGCGAGGGGAGUGAAAAAGAACCUGAAACCGUGUACGUACAAGCAGUGGGAGCACCCUUUGGGUGUGACUGCGUACCUUUUGUAUAAUGGGUCAGCGACUUAUAUUCUGUAGCAAGGUUAACCGAAUAGGGGAGCCGGAGGGAAACCGAGUCUUAACCGGGCGUUAAGUUGCAGGGUAUAGACCCGAAACCCGGUGAUCUAGCCAUGGGCAGGUUGAAGGUUGGGUAACACUAACUGGAGGACCGAACCGACUAAUGUUGAAAAAUUAGCGGAUGACCUGUGGCUGGGGGUGAAAGGCCAAUCAAACCGGGAGAUAGCUGGUUCUCCCCGAAAGCUAUUUAGGUAGCGCCUCGUGAAUUCAUCUCCGGGGGUAGAGCACUGUUUCGGCUAGGGGGCCAUCCCGGCUUACCAACCCGAUGCAAACUGCGAAUACCGGAGAAUGUUAUCACGGGAGACACACGGCGGGUGCUAACGUCCGUCGUGAAGAGGGAAACAACCCAGACCGCCAGCUAAGGUCCCAAAGUCAUGGUUAAGUGGGAAACGAUGUGGGAAGGCCCAGACAGCCAGGAUGUUGGCUUAGAAGCAGCCAUCAUUUAAAGAAAGCGUAAUAGCUCACUGGUCGAGUCGGCCUGCGCGGAAGAUGUAACGGGGCUAAACCAUGCACCGAAGCUGCGGCAGCGACACUGUGUGUUGUUGGGUAGGGGAGCGUUCUGUAAGCCUGUGAAGGUGUGUCGUGAGGCAUGCUGGAGGUAUCAGAAGUGCGAAUGCUGACAUAAGUAACGAUAAAGCGGGUGAAAAGCCCGCUCGCCGGAAGACCAAGGGUUCCUGUCCAACGUUAAUCGGGGCAGGGUGAGUCGACCCCUAAGGCGAGGCCGAAAGGCGUAGUCGAUGGGAAACGGGUUAAUAUUCCCGUACUUGGUGUUACUGCGAAGGGGGGACGGAGAAGGCUAUGUUGGCCGGGCGACGGUUGUCCCGGUUUAAGCGUGUAGGUGUGUGUUCCAGGUAAAUCCGGUUCACUUUAACACUGAGGCGUGACGACGAGGCACUACGGUGCUGAAGCAACAAAUGCCCUGCUUCCAGGAAAAGCCUCUAAGCAUCAGGUAACAUCAAAUCGUACCCCAAACCGACACAGGUGGUCAGGUAGAGAAUACCAAGGCGCUUGAGAGAACUCGGGUGAAGGAACUAGGCAAAAUGGUGCCGUAACUUCGGGAGAAGGCACGCUGACACGUAGGUGAAGUGAUUUACUCAUGGAGCUGAAGUCAGUCGAAGAUACCAGCUGGCUGCAACUGUUUAUUAAAAACACAGCACUGUGCAAACACGAAAGUGGACGUAUACGGUGUGACGCCUGCCCGGUGCCGGAAGGUUAAUUGAUGGGGUCAGCGCAAGCGAAGCUCCUGAUCGAAGCCCCGGUAAACGGCGGCCGUAACUAUAACGGUCCUAAGGUAGCGAAAUUCCUUGUCGGGUAAGUUCCGACCUGCACGAAUGGCGUAAUGAUGGCCAGGCUGUCUCCACCCGAGACUCAGUGAAAUUGAACUCGCUGUGAAGAUGCAGUGUACCCGCGGCAAGACGGAAAGACCCCGUGAACCUUUACUAUAGCUUGACACUGAACAUUGAGCCUUGAUGUGUAGGAUAGGUGGGAGGCUUUGAAGUGUGGACGCCAGUCUGCAUGGAGCCGACCUUGAAAUACCACCCUUUAAUGUUUGAUGUUCUAACGUGGACCCGUUACCCGGGUUGCGGACAGUGUCUGGUGGGUAGUUUGACUGGGGCGGUCUCCUCCUAAAGAGUAACGGAGGAGCACGAAGGUUGGCUAAUCCUGGUCGGACAUCAGGAGGUUAGUGCAAUGGCAUAAGCCAGCUUGACUGCGAGCGUGACGGCGCGAGCAGGUGCGAAAGCAGGUCAUAGUGAUCCGGUGGUUCUGAAUGGAAGGGCCAUCGCUCAACGGAUAAAAGGUACUCCGGGGAUAACAGGCUGAUACCGCCCAAGAGUUCAUAUCGACGGCGGUGUUUGGCACCUCGAUGUCGGCUCAUCACAUCCUGGGGCUGAAGUAGGUCCCAAGGGUAUGGCUGUUCGCCAUUUAAAGUGGUACGCGAGCUGGGUUUAGAACGUCGUGAGACAGUUCGGUCCCUAUCUGCCGUGGGCGCUGGAGAACUGAGGGGGGCUGCUCCUAGUACGAGAGGACCGGAGUGGACGCAUCACUGGUGUUCGGGUUGUCAUGCCAAUGGCACUGCCCGGUAGCUAAAUGCGGAAGAGAUAAGUGCUGAAAGCAUCUAAGCACGAAACUUGCCCCGA
rnacentral:rRNA from 1 species